UUUAUUUAGAAUAUUUUUUAAGUAUUAAGGUUUGAUUAAUUGGUAGUUUUUUAUUUCUGUAUAUUACUGAGUAGAAUAUUGACUUGUUCAGAUAAAGUUGUACAACAGAAAACUAUCAGUUAUCUUAUCUACUUUUCAACUUCAUUUUCUUUGGGAUUAUUCUAAUGAAUUUCAUUCAGCUUUUGAGAUUACUCUUUGUAAAGUUGAGUUCUACUUUUUGAAAUUAUGUGUUUCCAUAGCCUGUGAAAUAUAUAUCUUCAGCCAAUAUGUUGUCAACUUUUUCUCCCUCAACAGUAUCAUUUCUCCCCACCAUUCUCCCAUGCAACAUGGCAGACCUUCUGUUACUAUUUUCUUGACAUCUGAGGUUCUAUUUUGCUUUGUUUCAGAUCUUUUAUCUCUUCACUGUUCAAAUGAGCUAACAUUUGGCUCUAUCUCCAAGUUUUGUUUGUUUGGUUGUUAAGUUCUCAGAUUUCCAACAGUUCUUUAUAUCUUCCUUACUUUUCUGAUUAGCCAUUUUUGUGUUGGCAUGUGUUAUCCUUUCAUGUUGAGUAAUAUUGAUUAUAUCUGAGAUAUUUUGAGACUGGAUUUUAUUUAAAUCUUUGGAUAAUUGUGUUUUCCUUUUAUCCUGCAGUUGACAGGGUUAGGCCCAGUGAGCAAUUACUAUUUUACCUUUAGUAAGCUGUGGUUGUGGUAUCAUCCAUUGCCAGUGCCUUUAGUGUAUCUACUCCAGAUGGUCAAUCUGGAGUCUCAGCACUUUCACUGCCAAUUCUUUGUAGGUUAUUUCUGAUGAGAUCUAUGUAUUCAAGCCUGAGAUGUAAGCCUGGGUGUUUAUAAGCAAUUAGUGGGUAUAUUUGUUUCCUAAGCUCCUCCUUUCUGUGAUUUUUUUUUAGAUCCUUCUAGUUCUAUGGGACUUUUGUUACUGGUCAUUUGGCCAGGAAACUUGGACUUCAGUUAAUGUCAUCUGUCAUGAAGUGCACAGCAAUGCCUAAGUUUCUGCAGCCAAAUGACUGGACAGCAAGCCAUAAUGGGAUUCAGUCCCACCUUCUCAGAACCACAGUUCUGAUAAACCCAGAGGGAGCUUUGGUUUUAGCUUUGCAAGUUUCUCUUGCUGCUGGCUGUCAUAUACACCACUGGGAUAUUUUGGGCAUGGUAGCUUCAGAUAGCAGGGAGAAGGAGGGACAUGGAGGCUUACAAACACACAUGUGCACACACACACACACACACACACACACACACACACACACACACACAUGUCUCCAAGUGUCAGAGCUAUGGCCAUCUCCUGCUUCUCCUCUGCCAGCAACUGGUGUCUGGUAACUGUGUGUUGACUCCAGUUUGGGCAUAAUGGAUACUGCCAGUUUGUUGGUAUUUCAAGUUCUGGUUGUCUUUUGUAGGCUGUCUGCUACAAUUGACUGUAAAGUCCUCACGCAACUUUAUAAUGACAUAAGGUUUUAUAAUUGUAAACCCUGGUUAAGAUAGGAGACAGAAUGUAAAGACUCCAUUUGUGUUGGAUUGUGAAUUUGAUGAUGAUGAGGUUAAAUGGUGUGGGCAUACACUGCUCCUUGACUGUAGCUUUUCAAAGCUUUGCAUCCUUGCUUGAAAAAUAAUUCCUACAUUCUACUUUCAAAAUUUUGGAGGAAGAUGUGUGUACUUUUGUCACUGAGCAGUCCUAGUUCUAUUGGCUCAUAAACAAAACCUCAGUAACUACAUUGGAAUGGAGAAAUUUAUUAAUAUUUUACUUUUUCUUACUAUUAAGGCAAAGGGACUGAGAGUAUACCUCAGUGGUAGAGAUUUUGCCUAAUAUGCAGAAAAGCUUUUUGCUCCAACCUAAGCAAACACACACACACAUACACACACACAGAGAAAGAGAGAGAGAGAGAGAGAGAGAGAGAGAGAGAGAGAGAGAGAGAGAUAGAGAUUACAGAGAUUUUCCUUGUCACUUUCUUUUAUCCUCACUGAGGAUUGAACCACUGAACUAUAUGCCUACUCUUAUUUUUUACUUUUUGUUUUGAGAUAAGAUCCUACUCUGUGGUCUAGGCAGCCUUUGAACUUAGGGUCUUUGUGACUCAGUCUUCCAAGUAGCUGGGUUUAUAGGCAUGCACAAUCAGGCCCAGACAAACUCAAGAAUUUGGGAAAUCUUUUCAUUCCAGUUUAGAAAAAGGACUGUGGAGAUAAUGCUUCUGUGACUAAUAUAGUAAGUUCAUUCUCUGCUGAAUGAACAGGUACCUCUUUCAUGAGAAGAGUUUUGUUGUGCGUGUUUCAUAAGCUCACAUCUGGAAUUUAGAGUGUUAAAUAUGCUUAUAAUGCCUAUAAAAUAGUUAUUGUGACUGUAGUGGUUAGUGAGGCUCUGGGAACAAGCUUCUCUGAUAAUCUCAAGUAAGAUAGGGACUGAUGAAAUAAAUGAUAUAAGGUGUUCCCAGAGUGGUGAGGAUACUCAAAGACCUGUUGUUCCUGAGGGGUGGGGAACAGGAAGCCCUGCUGUAGAAGGGAGAAUGGAAUGAUUUAGGGAGCAGGGGUUUGCAUUUCCAGGAUCAGGGCAGGCUAUACAGUGGGAAGGUCUGGUUCCAACUUGAGCCCACUCACAGGAUGUCAGGGGAAGUGUGACUAAGGUCAUGGCCAUGCCACGUGGCAGGCCAGCUGGAUUCAAAGCAGGGGCCUCUGGCCACAUAUCCUAAGUUUCCAUGGCCUAAUGUAGUAGGCUUGAAAGAAAGGGUGGAUGCAGGAUACUGGCAGGGGCUGUGCAGUGCGUGGGCAGUAAGUCUUAAGUGGCAGUGGGUGGAGACCACAGCAUUUCAUACGCCUUUCCUAUGACACCUUUUAAAGCUAUAACCUACAGUAUGCAGGAGUUUAUGCCAAUAUCUGCUUACAGGGAUCUUGCAGACCUCUUAAAUACUCUGGUGUUCGUAGAAGUACAAGAGAAAUUUUUUAUUUUGGUGUCAUUUUUAACACAUAUAGAGAUGUAAAUUUAGAUUGUGAAUUUGUGGUCCUGUUCACAUUUAGCAGUUUUAUUGGGAAUGAUUUUAAAACCUUUUGUAAUUUUCAGAUGUGGAUGGCUGUAAAGGAUACAUUAGAUUUCUUUCAACUUUUCCUUGGAGAAGGGCUGUUCACAAUCCUUUAGCAGGUUAGGUUACAGAAUUUCAGCAGCUUUAUGGUCUUAUCAUGUAGUUUGAUAGAUUGAAUUUGCACUUUGAGGAAACGGAAUGUAUUUUUAAUCACGGAAAUAUAUUGUACCCAGGGAACAUAGGGGAGUAUAUGUCAGAUUUAAGCUGUAAUUAAUAUCUCACUGGUGAUUUUCCAACUCCAUGGCAUGCUGAAACUUGAUCUUCACUUGAGCAAUUUCUAGUGUUUCCUGAGUGUAAAAUGUAAAGAGUCUUAGAAAAGCAUCCUAGGAUUCAUAACCAUUCUUUAUCCAUUUAGGAUCUUAUAGAGGUCUCUGGCCUAAAUUUUCAGUUCUAAGAGAAAAAUUUAUUAUGAAAAGCAUUAAAUGUUCAGUAUUUUAUGUAUCCCCAAUAAAUUAUACAAUAUGCUAGGAGGAAUGAGGGAAAGAAGUGAAAAUCACCAUAGAAACUUGGGUGGGAGGUUGUAAGUACUGGAGGGGGGUAUAUGAGCUGCUAUUAUUAGACAUCCUUGUUAAGGUCCUGUGUCUUUAUGAUUGCCUGGGAGGGUUCAUUGAAGUGGAAAAAGCACUUGAAGUAUUUACUUAGUUCAGUUUCUUCCUAAAACUUAAGAAUCCUUUCUAUGAUGAGAAAUUAUAGAAGGUAGAAGCACGGUCUUUUUGUUGUUGUUGUUGUUUGGGUUUUUUUUUUUUUUGUCUGUUUUGUUUUGUUUUUUUACAUUUCAAAUAUUAUUCCCUUUCCUGGUUUCUCAUCCAUAAGCCCCCUAUCCCAUUCCCUCCCCCUUCUUCUAUAAGUGUGUUUCCCCUCCCCAACCACCCCCCUUUCUGCCUCCCGGCUCUGACAUUCUCCUACACUGGGGGGUCCAACCUUGGCAGGACCAAGGGCUUCCCCUUCCCUUGGUGCCCCAACAUGGCUAUUCUCUGCCACAUACGCAGUUGGAGCCCAGGGUCAGUUCAUGUAUAGUCUUUGGAUAGUGGUUUAGUCCCUGGAAGCUCUGGUUGGUUGGCAUUGUUGUUCAUAUGGGGUCUCGAGCCCCUUCAAGCUCUUCCAGUCCUUUCUCUGAUUCCUUCAACGGGGGACCCGUUCUCAGUUCAGUGGUUUGCUGCUGGCAUUCGCCUAUGUAUUUGCUGUAUUCUGGCUGUGUCUCUCAGGAGAGGUCUACAUCCGGCUCCUGUCGGCCUGCACUUCUUUGCUUUCUCAAUAUUGUCUAUCUUUGGUGGUUGUUUAUAUAAGGGCUGGAUCCCUAGGUGUGGCAGGCUCUGAAUGGUCAUUCCUUCAGUCUUUGCUCCAAACUUUGUUGCCAUAACUUCUCCUAAGAAAUAUGGUCUUUAGUUUGGAUAUAAUGCCAUUUUUUGAAAUUAAUGAGCUUGCAUUAGAAAUCAGGUUCCUGGAAGAGACAUCAUAAAGAAUAGACACUGAAGUUCACUACCAUUAAAGCUUUAGGUGUAAGCUACCUUUAAAAACAUUUUCAUGUUUAGGAUAGGUUUAUUCUAUUUUUCUCAAGCUCCCCCCCCAACACAUAGGUGUCUUCUAUUUUGCCUAGAGCUCUUUGUCAUGGAGGUGAUAAUGAGUUUGGUGACCAGGUCUGAAUGCACUAUAUAGAUAUAUAAAGGCCACUAUUAAAUUGUCUCUGAGCCUUAAGUAACAUAAAGUACUGAGGAGCACUACAUUGGAUUAGCAUUAAUUAGCAUUAAGGAGAUUGUGGGUAAGCAUAAAAACAAGUGGGAUGACAAAGAAAAAUGUAUCAUACUGUAAGAAGAGUGCUUUGUGAGCAUCACAUAAUAUUAAUAUAAGCCAAUUGUUAAGAUCUCUUUUAAAAAGAUUUAUUUUUUCAUUUUUAUUUUUGUACGUGUGUGCCCAUGUGACUUUAUGUGUGUAGGUACCCAUAGAGAACAGCAGAGAGUGUUGGAUCUCCUGUAACUGGUACUAUAGGUGAUUAUAUAGUACCUGGUGUGGGUGUUGGGGAUCAAAAGUGGGUCCUCCAGAAUAGAACCAAGUGCCUUUGACCGCUAAGGCACCUCUCCAGCUCCACAAAGAUCUGUUUUAUGUGUUUAGAUUGUACCUUGGGUUCCAAGAUGAUAGCAGUUUAGAGGCCCAGUAUGUUCAUCCACCUCCCACAACCCUUUCUCUUCUAUAGUAUCCUAAGAGGCCAAAGCUGUAAAAGAACCUAACCAAGAAUUCUGGUAUGAUCUUGUCAUUAUUAGACAUUUCAGAAUACUUACCACAGUUUAAAACCUCAGUGAAGAGGUGGGAGCAGAGUUUGUAGGAGAGGAGAAACUUAGAAAUCAAAGGUAAAGUUUGUGAUGAAUGGCACAGUAGGGAAGAGACUCACAUGGACUAAUGGUUGUUUGUCUGGCAUACCUGAAGUACCUUCCAGCACAGGAGAGUACACCUGCAAUGCUGCAGAUUAGCAACUCAGGAGCCCCAAAAUAUUUAAAGAAAGUAAUUAUGUUUUUAUACAACAUGAAGUUGUUUCUUAAUGAUCCAAACUGUUUAUGCCAUAUUCAUGUUGAGCAAAGUCAUCUAAAAAUGAUUUAAAGUGGACAAGACAAGAGAAUGAACAUGGACUUCCUGCAGCCACUGGACAAUGUAGGGAUUUUGAGCACCAGAAGAACUACUUUCUGCAGCAUGCCGGAUACAUGUCAUCCUUCUUGGGUAAGAAGAGGUACUGUCGCUGUGCUGAGUGAGACAUGGUUAGUAAACAGGGAGUUAGGAACUUUAAGAGCAGUGAUGCGAAGUAAAUGAAGGAUGAGGCUUAAUUGGAGCUGAAGGCUGCUGGCUUUAUACAAGGAAUGCAUGUUAUUCUAGUCCUUGGAAGAAGAAAUGGUAACUCCUUUUUAAAUUAUGGCAUCUGCUUUGAUAUCUGAAAAAUGAUCCGUGCUCUUUUCAAAUUAUAGUUAAAGAAGAUGACAACAUGACUCUACUAAACAUAUGAACAAUAAAGAAGUAUGGGAAAAUAGAAAAGAAUCACUUUUUAUUUAAAAAUAAACUUUCAUAUCUUUAAAGAAAAAUAUGGAAUAUGGACCCAGAGAUUAAUGAUGCAGUUAAUUGAAUUAGUUUAACUUUCAUCUGAUAAUAAUUUAACUUUAACCAUGAGAAAAAACCGAACACUCCAGAAAAUUAUCUUAAAAUUAUUUCAGGUUGGUGAGUUGGUGUAUGCCUCACAACCUGUUUUGAUCCUCAGACACACAUGAUAGAAGGUCAGAACCAAUUCCCACACAUUGUCCACUGACCUCCACUCAUGCCAUAACAUAUGUCCCCACAUAUAGUGCACAGUAAAUGAAUGCAAUUAAAAAAUAAAAAUCUCUUACUGGGUGUGAUGACUAUAGCCUAUAACUCAAACAGCUAUGGGGUGAAGCAAGAGGAGUUCUAUGAAUUUAAGGCCAGCCUGAGCUACAUAGUGAGUUCUAGGAUAGCCUGGACCUAGAAACUCUGUCUGAAAAACAAUAGCAAAACAAAACAAACAAUAAACAAAAUCUAUUUGUUGCCUUGAGAAAGGUUUACAUAUGAGCUUCCAUAUUUAUUUGCCUACUGAUGUAUUUUUAACCAUCUGAGGCGAGAUUGUUAUAGUUGUUAUUAUUAUACAAAAAAUGAAAUUUAUUUAGGUACAGGUAUACCUUAUAUACUAUUCUUUUAACUUUUUUAUGUAAUUUGAAGUUUUCUACUAUAAACUGUUUUUAAAAGAAGCAGCAGCAUCCAGGUGGUAUUGGCCAAUGUAUUUAAUUCCGGAACUUGGGAGGCAGACACAGGUGGAUCUCUAUGAGGUCAAAGCCUAGUUGAGCUAUAAAGAGAUGUUGUCUCAGAGAUAGGAGAAAAAGACAUUGUAGAUAAUCUAUUGAUCUUUGAAAGGAAGGAUGAAAAGAUCUGACCAUAAUUUGAAGUAUACCUGCAAUAGCUUGUAGCAUGUAGAACUGAUUCAUUAUCUGUGGCAAGCAUGGAAAAUGAAGGGAGUAUAAAUGAAGAGGAUCAUUCAUGGAAAUCUGUUAGCUAUAGUGAGGGAAUUAGGAUUCAUCUUGACCUUGCUGCUGGAAAUCCUUCACUGCAUGAGCUUGUCUUUUUUUUUUUUUUUUUUUUUUUUUCGGAGCUGGGGGCCGAACCCAGGGCCUUGCGCUUGCUAGGCAAGCGCUCUACCACUGAGCUAAAUCCCCAACCCGAGCUUGUCUUAUGUAGCCUAUUCCGUUUAUCUCUUUCAGCCCUAUUCUUUUCCUGUCCUCUAAAGUUUAAUUUACAUUGGUCAUUGUCCUUCUGUAGUAUAAACUCCAUAGUUCUGUGGAUUUUAAAUAAAAAAAAAGACUAUUUGGUCUUAGCUUUCCUAGAAUCUGCUCAUUUCAAGGACGCUGGUCUUUGUUGAGAAGCUCCAGUUAAGGUUCUUACUUAAUGGUUGUAGUCACUGUCUUUAAUGCUUUUAAGAUUUUAAUUUUAUGUGUAUGAAUAUUUGGAUUUAUGUUUGUCUAUGAACCACGUGUGUGCCUGCUUCUUGCAAAAGCCUGUAGAGGGCAUCAGAUCACAUAGCUCCUAUGUUUGUAGUUUUGUUCUGCUGGGAAUCAAACCUUUGUUCUCCAAAAGUCCAACGAAGAGCUCCUAAUCACAGAUUCAUCUCUCCAAUUCCAAGAAGUCAGUCUCUUAAUACCUUCAAAGAUUUGUUUCCUUCCCACCUGUAGGAUCCUCCAUUUGAUAGAAGUUUCACUCAGUCCAACUCAGUAACCUUGAAAUUUGGUCUGGAAAGCUGGCUCAGUUGGUAAAGUACUUGUGACAUAAGCAUGUGAACCAGAGGCUGGAUCUGCAGCACCCAUGCAAAAGCUGGGCACAUUAGCACACAGCUGGAACCUUGGUGCUAGAGAGACAGAUACAGGUGAAUCCCUGGAGCUUGCUGGCCAGCCAGUUUAGCUGAAUUGAUGUGUUCCAAGUUCAGUGAGAUACCCUAUUUCAGAAAUAAUACAGAAAGAAGUGUCUAGGAAGAUCCUUGACCUCAAACUCUGGCCUUCACCCACAUGUAUACAUGCAUGCAACAUAUAUACUAAUAAAUGCCCCCAGUAAUUCAGGAGGCACCCCAGCCCACAUCUUAGCACUACUGUAAGUCUAGAGACACAUGCCAUACUUCAUCACCUUGACUUAAAACUGUAUAAAUAUUCCCUGCUGACAGAACGGAGUUGCUUUUAUUGGUGAUGGUUAUUGCUUGUUUGUUUGAUUGUAGCACACGGUGCCCCUGUUCAAUCCUAGUCCUUGUAUAUGCUAGGCAGAACUCUGUUACAGAUAUAUACUUCCAGUUAUCUUGCUGGAGGAAAAAUGAAAGGCAUUGACAUAUAAUUUGCUCCUUAAUGUGAUAUCUGGUUUGUUUACUGAUUUUAUGUUUUAUUUCUAGCUCAUACAUAUGUUAGAUCAUGGGCAAGAAGGUAUGAGCAGUGAAGGAACUCUAUAUGUUAUUUAACUCUAUAUACUUAGAAAUGCUAUGGUGUGCUUCUUGAUUGAAAAUCUGGGAAGUUGGACUUGGUGUGAUGGCAUGUGCAUUUAGUCUCAGCAUUCAGGAGGCAGAGUCAGGUGGAUCUUUGGGAGUUCCAGGCCAGCCUAUAUAUAUAUAGUGAAUUUGAGGACAUCCAGGACUGCAUUGAGAGACCCUGUGAUAAAACAAAACAAAACAAAACAAAACAAAACAAAACAAAACAACAAAUAAUCCCCUCCAUCCCUAACCUGGGAUAUGGGGCUUCUUGGACCUGUGUCCAUACAUGUUUAAAUUAAGAAGAUGGGGAUGUGGAGAAUUGCCUUUUCUGGUAAAGAGAGUCCUUGUCCCAUUAUCAGCCCUGGCUUACUUCCAUCUCUUGUUGGUAUUAAUGACUUUGGACUUUAGGACGGGGUUCUUGCUUGAAAUCUCCCUGUUUCACAAGUUUCUUCUCACAGAGAACUUUCUGUGGGAUGAGGUAUCUUAGGUGAGAUCUGGGUCAGGAUACUGGCUUGAGAAGGGAUACAGGACUCACUCCCUACUUGUAGAUAAUGCCUGAGAUAUGCUGUUUAUGGAGCUCUUUAUAGGUCACCAUUGUGUGGCUCAUUGGCCACACUUGCAGUUCUUUCAUUUUCUUUAGGGAUAGAAACAUAAGCACAAAGACUAAAAGUCAUUUUGGCUGGUGGGGUACUUCACACCUGUAAAUCCAGCAUGUGGGGGAGGUUGAAGUGGGAGAAUAGUGUUCAAACAUAGCCUAGGUUACAGAGAUGAUCUGUCUUUAGAAGGGGAUAUGAGGGAGAAGGCAACAGCAAAAACAAAGAAAUUGGUACAAGUCCUUGAGUCUUCUAUCUCUGCCAGUCAUGUUCUUUUAUUCUUUUCAGGCCCUCCUGCAGUAUUACACCUAGCUCACCCUUGUGUCUUGGCAGUCCUUGCAGCUCAAUCAAGUGUUGUUCACCUUAUUCAGCACACAUACUUGAGUAUUCUGAAGGCUGAGUACUGUGGGAAUUUGAGGCUGGGGCAGGCAGCAAAGAAUAGAGCUGCCAGCAGGGCUCUUCUAGCUUCUGGCAGGAAGUUUGCCUUAGUCCAGGUUACAGUGUUGGGCUACCCACCCACCCACCUCACUUUCCAUCCCCCAGAUCACUUGAAGAAAGCAUGGAGAAGCUGAAGGUGCUCUUUCUGUUCCUUUGAUUUCCAUAUGCUUCUUUAGAUGAUGUACAGUCUCCUCCUGAUUUGUUUGCUGUGGUGUUAGGGAUAGAGCCUAGAGAUUUGCAUGUAUUAUACCAUUUUACAUACCGGACCAGAGCUACAUACCAGGUCUGAUCUUUCCUCACUUUUGUACUAAGUCUUUAUGAAUCAUGAAUUCUAAAGGGCAAGGUCUCUAUCAUUUAUGUUUCUCCUGUCCCAGAUCCUAGCCAUGGAACUGCGCAUUGUAAGGUUAAUUACAAUGAAAAUUAUCUUUGUCAAGAACAUGUACUUCUGUGGUCUUCAGAACACAUCAUGUAUAGGUGAUACAAGUACAUAGUUUCAUAUACUGAGACAUCAUUUCCGUCUGUUUGGGCACAUCUGUUCUUUGUUCAGUACUAGAGUUUUGAAAAUGGAAACCGGUUCAUGCCAUCUUAUUCUAUUUAGUAUUUAACACCAGUUUCUUUCCAUCUUGGGUAGAACAGGUGGGAACAGGCAUGACUGGGUUAUCACUGGGAGUUCUUAGUCACCUGAGAUGGGGAAGACAGGGAGGGAUGAUGUGUUGAUGAGUUUUUGUGUAAAGACUACACUCCUCUUAGAAUUCUUAGCUUAUAGGGAUGAAGAUGUAGUUCAGUUGUCAGACACUUGCUUAAAUAUACUAUCCCCAGCAAUGCUGUAGACAUGCACCUCAAAAUCCACAAAUGCAUAGCAGUGAACCAAAGAAAAGAAAGUUGAGAAACAAGAAAAAAAUCCUGUAUUUAUACAGGGGCUCCAAAUCACAUGAUAAGGUGUAAAAUUGAGAGUUGGUGGCCUUCUUUUACUUGCUAAACCUAAUCUUGCUGAUCUUGCUUAGAUCUGUCUCUUUUCACAGUGGAGAGCCACUCAGAGGACCAUUUCCCUUCAGGAUACAGUCUCUUCAGCAGUUUAGUAGACAGUGUUUUAUGCCAUUUUUCCUCUGUAGUUCCAGAAGAGAACCUCAGAGGUGACAUGGACAAAGGGUACCUGAGGCAAGGGUACAAUCUAUUUCCAGUUAUUCUCUUCUAAAAUGUGAAUUGUAUGUAUUCAGUCUUCACUACAGCUCUGUUGGCAUGUUGAAACACUCUAAAAGUUAGUUUUGCAACUUAAGAUUUUUUUGCUCUCAAAUUUUAUCAUACAUUUGAUGUCCUAACGUUGGGUAACAUUCUACUGCUCUGUUUUUGUGGUUUUCCUGAAAGGUUCUUAUGCUAAUUCUUGCUAAUUCCAAGGUAAUAUAUCCUGUAACCAGUUGAGUUGGGUAGGGCUGCCAUUUGACCUGGGCAAUCUGUGUUCUGAAACCCAUUUGCCUGUCCUUAUCUGUGAUAAACUAAUUCAGGUAACCCAGCUUUUUGUGUGUCUCUCCUUGAUAACACCCUAAGUAUUUUGAUGCUGCUGUUCUCAGGCAACAGGAAUGUAGAAUUCUUGCAAUCAAUCAAUCGUAAUUUCAUAUGCAGUUAUGUUCUAUAUAGUCUUCAAGGUAAGAUGGUAAGAUAUUAUGUCCUCACUUCCCAAGAACUCUAGUCAGUUUUUGUUGUAUGGCUAUGGGUAGAUACUUUCUGGUACUUGCCAACUCUCUGGGAGAUAUUCCAUGGCGCUUUUCCUGCUUAUUGUAGCCAUUGAGGUCAUUCAUGGAGACAUGUUCAAUUUCCUCAACUUAGCCUGUAUCCUUAGCUUGUGUCAAGUUGACAUUAAAACUAGCCAGCACACCUUUGUUGAGCUCCCUAUUAUUGAUCUGACCUCUUCAUAUUCAAAGGCCUCAGUCCUCCAUAUUACGUUUACUUCUCUAACAGCCCUCACUCUCAGCGCAGACCUAAAGUAGUGGAACAAACCAGUUGUGGCCUAAAACCUGAAGACUUGAGCCAAAUGAAAACCUUUAUGUAAGUUAUAUCAGAUAGUUUGCCAUAGUAACCAAAAGAAGGCUGCUAUAAAACACCCUCCAAAAAUCCUUGAAUAACUCACUUUCAUGACUCAAAACUUUCUAUGGUUUUGUAUCUUAGAGCUAAGAAUUAGUCUAUUCCAGGAAGCCCUUUGUAACCUGCUUCCCUGUGCCUGUUCAGUGUAACCAGACUCAUUUCUUUCUUCUUUCUACCUCUUCAUCCUGAUAUGUGACACUAGACAUUUUACUGAUCUAAUCCCUGAGAAGAUAUAUUUCCACUUCCCGUUCUUUUCUCUCUGCCAUGCCUUCUUCAUUCACUGCCCAGAUAUUUAUGGAAUCUGCUCCCAUGAUUACUUAGUCUGCCUCUCCCUAUACCUCCCAUAUUCUGCUUGAGUACUUUAUCACUAGCUAGUCUACUUUGCAUUUCUUUGUUUCUAUUUCUUUCCCCUAUAGUCUGGAAACUCUAGACUAUAUUCCCUACACCCAGCACAGUACCUAAGAGUUACGGAGUAUUUGGUAAGAUUUUUGAAUGACUGAAUGUGUGUACUGGACAAUGUGGUCAGAAAUAGAUGAUAAGGAAUGUGGAUUCACCCAAUUGGAGAGGAAAACACAACAUGUAUGUAUAUUUCUCAGAGUCUAGGGGGAUUUCUCUUGGACACUCCCUGAGAUCUUACCAUUUCUAAAAUUGGAUGGGACAUCAGUUGUUAUCUGCUCAACACUGAAUAUUAUACAGCCUUUUCAUUCUUGUUGAUUGCCUCUUUUUCUUUUGUUAUUGUUACAUAUAUGUUUGUGGUAUGCACAAAUAUUUGUAAAUAACAUCCACCAAGUCAGUUUUUGUUGAUGGUGUGUAUAUGACUGCAGGGCUCUGGACUGGAAAACCAAUGAGGGGCCUCAUCCCUGGGUGAGGCUGAUUCUCAUCCCAACAUUCAUUGGUUACCUGUACUUCUUUGUCUAGGGAUGGAACACCCACCUUCAUGUUAACAUGUCCAUUGAUAAUGCCAUUGUUCUGCCAAUUUCUAGACAAGCUUUUCACAGCAAGCUUCCUGGUAUUUUGGCUCUUAGAAUCUUUCUUCCUCCUUGUCCUCUAUGUUCCCUGAGCUGUAGAUGCAAGAGGUGUGAUGUAUUCAUAUCCACUAGGUGUAAGCUUUCCAUGGUCUGUUCAUCUCUGUAUUGUGUCCAAUUGUGGUUUUCUGUGAUGGUCUCCAUUUUCUAUAAAGAAAGGCUUCUUUGAUGAGGGGUGGUAGCUACACUUAUUUGUGGGUAUAAAGAUAAGAUUUAGAAUGUAGUGAGGAAUCAUACUGGAGGAAGUGGCUUGGCAGAAGGUCAAAAUAAAUUCAGUCAGCUUCAAGGGAUAGGACCAAAAUCCCUAGUACCAGGAAUAAUUUCCCUUCUGUUGAGUGAGCAUACAUCCAAUUAGAAAACUGCUGAUUGCCACCAAUAUGUGACUGCAACCCAUUGAACCUUUAUGCAUGUGUACCAUGUAGAGAUGUCACUACUCAAUAGGACCAUUAAUUGCUUUCACCCCUUGUCUAUGGAACUCCCUUUCUCUUAUUUUGUUUAAUUCCCUACUCUGUUUCAUUUGUGUUUUCUGGCAUUACACUGUUCUCUACCUAUCAAAGCCAGAUUUCAAGAGUAGAUGUGAUUUGUUUUGUGAGAGGCAUUGGAAUGCUGACCUACCUACUCACCAUUUUUUUGCUUUGUGCUUCACUGACUCCUUUAUUUUGUCAACUCCCAACAAAGAUCACCACUCUACCACCCACACAUCUACUGCCCUUAACCAGAUUCAUGUUCUCUAGGACAUGUCUUUAUUACUAUAUUUUUCAUCUCUUAUUGCAUACUUAAUGAUCAAUUACAAACAGUCUGGAAUUCACUUCCACUUAAUCCAUGGUGCUUGUGAGACUCGUGAUUUCCAGCACUUAACAAAUGCUUGGCAACCCCUAUACCCAUCCUGGCUUCCACUCCAAAUGUUUAGUGUAGUAGAGAACAGAAAGUACCUAAGCAGACUGUUCGGUGCCUCUUCUGUUUAGAGUGUUUUACUCUGGAGAUCGAUGAGAUCUGUCUUAAUUUUUUUCUUUUCACCGUUUUCCCCUUGAAUCAAUAUUUAGAAGAUCUGCAUGUGUGUGUUUAUGUGUGCAUAGGUGCACAUGCAUGUGUGGAGGCCAGGGGUAGAACUUGUCAUCUCGAGCAGCAUCCAUCUUUUUUUUUUUUUUGAUAUAGGGUCUGUCACUAGCCUGAAGCUCACUAAAAUAGGCUAGCCCAGGCUGGCCAGUGUACCCUCGGGAGGCAGUUGUUCUGGCUUACCCAGCACUGGGAUUAUAGAUUUGUGCAACCUUUUUUACAUGGACUCUAAUGACUGAUAUUAGAUCCUUGUGCUUGCAAACGAGUACUCUCCAAAUCCAUCUACUCAGGUAUAGAACUAUUUUAUUAUUUGAGAGAGAAAGUGGGGAGGUGGGGGGAGAAACAUUAGAAUAUGAAUUGGAAAUUUCUUUUAUCCAUUUACAGCAGGUACAGAAGAAUAGGUUGUGGCAAAAUUGGACUUGAGGGUAUUGUUUCUGUUAUGUAGGAAGUUUAAGAUUAUGAGAUUGGAGAAAGCUGACUGAAAAAAUAAGUCAUAUAAGCUUGGCAGAGAACUUGAAGGCUAAGGGUGUAGAUAGGUACAUUGCUAAGAAGAGAUGUGGCUCAUUUUAUAUAAACCCAAUACUGAUAGACAGUAUAUCUUGGCUAAGAUUUGUUUCUGUUAUUCAGACCCAUUUGCAGAUUGGUAAACUUGAGUGUACAAAUUGUUAUCCACAAAGAUCUCAUUGUUACUAACUAAAAUUUCUAAAUCGAGGAAUACAAAGAACCCAAGAAACUUAAAAGCCUUGGCAUAUUCAAAGUUAUCUUGAAAUAAUUUAUUAGAGACUCCAUUAAGGAUACUAGUACAAAAGUACUAUCCUAUAAAUAGAAAUGAACUUUCAAAAACCCAACAAUGUGAUAAAAGCACUGUCCUCUUUGAUCUCUGUGGAUCAUUCUGUAAGGAACUGUAUUUGUACAAAACACUGUCUUGUUAGCUCCAUUAUUUUGUUUAGCAAAAGCAGCAAGCAUAGCUAAGUGGUAGAGCACUUGGCUAGCACGCCUGAGUACCUGGGUUUCAGAUUCAACAUUGCCAAGGAGAGGAUAUGCCCCUUUAACUCCUUAGUUAUAUUUGCCUCAGACAAGAAGAUACUAAUUUGGUUGGUUAAAAACUUUUUCUUCAAGAUACCCACUUUUCAUUUAACAAAGAAUCUUACUGUGCAUAUAUGGGCUGGCCUUCAACUUAGCAAUUCACCUGUCAUUGUGUCCAGGUUCUGGAAUUGGAGGUGUGCCUUCAGAGUGAUAAUCCUCCUCUACAUAAUACUCCUGUGUAUAUUUCUAGUAGCUUAAUUUGUAUUUGAUUUAGGUCUACCUUUUUCCAAUUACUCCUAAUAAAUACACCAGUCCAUGAGUCCUGAGAAGUCAUGUAUUUGAGUUUAAGGUUCAUGAGGUAACUUUCUUCUUACUGCAAACUAUUAGGAUGGAGAUGCUCACUUUUACCUUUGUCCCACUAGUGUAGUCACCAUUUCCAGUGGGAUGCUUUUGAUAGGUUAAAGUUAUUUUCUAAGUAAUCAAUCUUACAAUUCUGUAAUUUUUCCUGGUUUCUACCUAGUAUUACCCUUGUGUGUUUGUCACUAAACUUCAAAAGCAAAAAAAAAAAAAAAAAAACCUGUCUCACAGUGGGCUCUGAAGUAAAUCUUGCUUCUGAAAUAUAUGUGCAAAAAUAAUUAUAUUGUUUUUAGAGAAGAAGGUUAUAAUCAAAUUGAAACUUGAGGGGUUUUUGUCAAGGAUUAUGUUGAUUAACAAGUGUUCUUCAUUUUUUGGACAGCUUGUGAGAAAGCAGUGAUUGUAGUUAAUUUUUAAUGAGUGUUACAUAGUUGAUAAUUGCUCUGAUUCAUGAUAUUAAUGUAUUCUCUUUCCUUCGCCCACAGCAAAACAAGCUUAAUUUGAUUUAUAUCCUUAGGAAGAAGAAAAAACCCUAAGAUUAUUCACAUGGCAUGAUUCAGAUUUUGGCCCCUUUCUCUUUCCCUUCUCUUUUUCUUCUCUUCCUCUUCCUCCUUGUCCCCCUCUUCUUCUCCCACCCUGCCCACUCCUGUAUUCACUCCCACCCACCAUGUUGUUGUCAUCAAAGAACUGAGUCAGUUAGUUCUUUAAAAUGGGUGGGGACAGGAGACAAGUAAUAAAAAAAAAAUUCUAAGUGAAGUAUUCAGCUUCUGUGUGAAAUCACUGCAAAAAGACAGGCGUCUCCUUCUAUUACAUGAAAAGCUUAGAGCACAGUCCGGUCCUCAUAAAGACAUGCUCCCAGUGUCCUACAUAAAUUUUCAUGUAGUUUGUGUACAUGUUUGUCAAGGCAUUUCAUGUAGCCCAGCCAUGGAGGCACAUACCGAAUUCUGAUCCUGGAAAUUUUAUGUAAACUAUACAUCAAAUUAAUGUGCUCUGAAAGUACUUUGCUAUACUUUCAGAAGUAUAGCAUCAUCAGAUGCUUGUCAUCACUAAUAAAGUAGUUUUAAAUGUUAUUUUUAAGUGAUAGUAUAACUGCUGUGUGUGACUCAAACACCGUGUCAACCCUUUUCAGUUCAGGUGCAAAGUACUUUCAGAGCACAUUAAUUUGAUGUAUAGUUUAUAUAAAAUUUUUUUAUACUUUGCUAAAUAAGAAAUGGACUUUUUAUGUUUUGUAGCCAGGAUCGCACUCUGUGGCUCAGAGCGAGUGUGUAUUCCUCUUGCUUCUGCUUCCCAAGGCAGGGAACUAUGGACAUGCAUUGUCAUACUUGACAUUCUCUAAAGAUUUUUGAUUGUUACAAAAUAUAAUCGAUGAAGUCACUUAAUUUGCUUAAAUGGACAGUAUGACAUGGAAGCUUGAGGCUAUUCUUGCCUCCCUUGGAAGAGAACUAUUGGGGGUAGCUACUCAGGCUUGGUAAUGUGGUAAGCAUUACUUAAGGAGAGAUUUUUUUUUUUUUUUGGUCCCGGCAUUUUAUUCUUUAUGCCAAUUCUCCAGGUGAUGAAAAACAGAAAGAAAGUGACUCCCCCCAUGUUCCUAUAGGCAAUACCAUCCCAGGGCCAGUAUUGGAUCCUGGGCUCUUUGUGUUCACCUUGACUUAUAGUUUGGGAUUUCUAGAAAUGAAAGAGUCACAUUGUUUGGUAUUUUGGGUUUCUGGCAGAAAGAGAACUCUCUGCUGUUUCUCCAAAAACAACAUUUUAGUUCAGAGUUGAAGCAGAUAUGUACCUCUGACCCAAGGUCCCACCAAAAGCAGUGAGUCCUGGAGCUUUCCCACAUCACCACCAUACCUCCAUUUUGUUGUCUUAGCCCCCAUUACGUUAUAGACAGGUUGGAUUGGUUGCUCGCUCUUUGCCCUUCAGGAGAGCCUAGGAUCUGCAUAUUUUUAAAGUAUACUUGUACUUCAGUGAUGUCUGCCUGCUGUCUUUUUUUAAUUAUCCAUCAACUCUGUUACAUGUUGACUGAAAACUAUUAGCUUUUGCUCCUGGAGGCUUUAUGGGAUGGUUGAACUGCUUCAUAGAGCUUUCAGAUGGAACCAGAGCUUGGCGUACUCAGAAGUAGAAUUUCUUCUUUUUUUAAUCUUUUUCUUUUUAGUUUUUUUAUUGUAUUUUUAAAAUUUUCAUUUUAAAUGUUAUCCCUUUCCCACUUUCCACUCCAGAAACCUGCUAUCCCACACCCUCUCCCAGCUUCUAUGAAGGUCUUUCAUCAUCUACCCACCCACUUUCUCCCACCUUCCAACCCUAACACUCCCCUACACUGGGGCACCCAAGCCUUGGCAGUUCCAAGGGCUUCUCCUCCUAUUUAUGUAUAUCUUAAUGAAAGACAAUCUAACAGAGAACAUAUACUGAGGUUCUUCACCUAACUACCUGGGCUUCCCUUAGGGUAAAUGUCAUGGGCUUUUAUGUGGUGGCCUUGUGGAGGAAAACAAAACAAAACAAAGCAGAAGAGUAGAUCAUGGGUCUACUCUGAGUCUGUACUCUUUUGCCCUUUGAUUAGAGGCUGUUUGGAGGUGCUCUGCACUGUGCCCAGGACAGUGCUCUACCCUGAAAAGGACUAUAAUGUUCCUCCAAUUUUUUGACUCAUUUAUCUUUUCCUGGCUGGUGACAGUUCUGAUGUCUUGUCGUAUCUGGGCCAACUAGAAUGAAAGUUCUAUUUUGUUAUUGUUGUUGUUUUAUUUUGUUUUGUUUUAAUUUUGAGGCAGGAUUUCACCUAGGAUGGCCUUGAACUAACUCCUUAUCCUCUUGCCACAACCCUACACAACCUUGCAUGUUCCUUUGUGUUCGGGAAGGCGGGCUUUUUCUCAUCAUGUUUGGGCUGCUAUGGGAAUUUCUGAAUGUCUUUUCUGACUGGUUCCAUCUGGUCAUAGCUCCCUUCUGCACUGACUUUAAGGAUACUCCAGAAAAUGUAAUGGAAAAAAGCCCCAACAGAUUCUGAAAUGCUCUACAGAAAUGAUGGCUUGGUCAGAUGUUUGUCAUCACUAAUACAGUAGUUUUAAAUAUUAUUUUUAAGUGAUAGUACAACUGCUGUGUGUGACUCAAACACCGUGUCAACCCUUUUCAGUUCAGGUGCAAAGCUGAAGGGCUGGAGGAACCGGGAUUGAAACACUAGCCAUUCUACAGACUUUCAACAGAUGUUAUAGGUUUCUUCAGAGGCCAGAGUUUUGGUUCUUUGAUUUUUAUUAAUGUCUGCUUUCACGCUGUGUGUUAAUUUCCAUUGGAAGUUAAGUAAUUAUAGACUUGAUGUUCGCUGUGUACCAUGGAAAGGUAACUGUCUUUAAGCCAAUAAAGCUUUACUCAGAAAAUGUCAGUGGCUAGAUUAAUAUCCCUGUUGAAAUAUGAACAGGUUUUAAUAACUAGUUGAGAAAUAUGUGUAUGUACUUAAAAUAUAAAGACAGUAUAAUUUGGAGAUGUACUUCCAAGUAGUUUUUAAAUUUCAUUUCUGAAAUCUGAUUCUUUAUGAAAAUUUGGAGUGAUGUUUAUUCCAGUAAAAAAAACUUACAGAGAAUUUUUUAAUAUAUUUAUAAAGUCAAUGAUCAACUUCCGUAUUAGCUUUUUAAAUAAUAUUUCCAUGUGUGUAUCUUUUCUGUGUCUUCAUCUGUGAGUUGGAGAAUUCGCUAUUUGCCUUGUGUUUUAAAAAUAGAAGGUAUGUCCUACAUUGUAACAUAACUAGUUAUCCAUCAAGGUUUAAUCAACAGUAAAAGCCUCUGUCAAAGCAGUUGCUGACUUUGCUCAAGGUUAAAGGAAGUAUGCUGAAAAGAGAUAACUGUAGUUUGAGUGCUUGCCUGAGCCAUUCAGAUUGUAUGUGUGUUGGGGAGAGGUUUGCACUUAUUAUUCCAUUUCUUCCUAUCUCCCAAAUACCUAAGAGUAACUAAUUCCAUGCAUGUAAUGCCACUCUCAUCAUGGUAGUUAAACAUCAUACUGAAGAGGAGACUUAGAAGCAGUUUACUUGAUUGGGAUUUCCCCAGAGAUUAUUUGGUGAUUUUUAAGGUUUUUUGUCUUCAGCUAUUAAACAAGUUGACAUCAAAAGACUAUUCAGAUGUUGGGGUGGGGCCAUUGUAGAAUUGGUGAUUCUAUGUGAAUGACUCAGGUUAGAGUGCAAAUUGCAGUACAUGCAAAAGUGAAAGCCUGUUACACGGCUCGGCUCUCAUGUCCCUGACCACUUCCUGAAGAACCUGCCACAUGGGCCCCAAAAAGAGAUUUAAAACUGGGUUCUUCCCAUGGUAAAGACAUGAGGCAGACCUGUAUGUAGAAAACCUUUUCCCCACUGUUGUGUGAACUUGAUUGUUUAGUGGCCUUAGUUGUAAAAUUUACAGCAUAUGGUUCUGAAACAUUACAUAUUAGAAAGGGCCAGAGCUUAGCUGACACUUAAAAUAUAAUCUCAGAGCUUUCUUGUUUACCUGAUUGAAUGUUUUGAAACCCAUUAAAACAUGCUUUCUGAUCCUUAAAUGUAUGAGCUAGAAAAGAAAAAAAAAUGGGAGCUUGUCAGAUCAAGUACAACCUCCAGUCUAAUAAAACUGAGUCACAUCCAAAUGGGCUGUACUUACACUACCCUCCCAUUCUGGGGAAAAUGUGGCCGGGGGAGGCAGUGUGAGUCAUCACCUGGUUUGUUUGACAUAUGCUUCCUUCCAUAAAUUCGGAAUGGCAAGCAGCACAGUGCUCUGGGCUUGCCUUGGAAAAAGAGCUGUUGCAGCUUUGCCUGAGCAAAAUUGGGCAUCUGGUUUGGAAAGAAGAGGUUGAGCCCGUGUUUUGAGUAUAGAUGACGGGGGAGGGGGAGAAGAAAUGGACAGAUCCAAACAAAGAAUAUUUGAAUGAAAUGCAGAUAACUCGUUAGAAAACUUUUGUGGAAAGAAGUGACUUAUGCGAUCAGAACAAAGGCGUUUUAUAAUCAGAUUUACCAAGCUGAGAAGAGGGAGUUUCAGCAAACGGAAGCUCCCGGCAUUCUGUCACCAGGAAACACUGCAUUUUCCAGAAUCGGCUGACCUGCAUCUUUUAUCCAAUAAGACAAAGAACAUUGAACAAAGAAAAGAACAUUGAAAAGACACAAUUUCAGUGUGAAUUGUGAGAUCUGCAUUCCUAGGAAACACAUGUAGAUCAGAGAACCGGCCAUGCACUGGGAAAAUCCUUGCAGGGUCAGUAUGAGCACAGCCCAGCCUCUACAACUAAACUGAGGCCAGAAGGAGAAUGCUAUUGUCAGGAUGUGACAUGGUCCUUGGCUUGUAAUAGAUUCAUUUUCACUACACGGCAACCAGCCUCAACCACUUUGGCAGCAAAUACUUGAUUUUAGGUAAGAACUAUAUACUGCUGUCUUUCUCACUUCUCCAAAGAUUAUAUAAAGCAACCAAUAUCCCCACUGCCUUUUAUGCAAUAUACUUCAGACCACUAAGUCUUUCUUACCUUUUCCAUUUUCUCCUUGUUACACUACUAAAAUCCACAUUUUUCUUUCCUCUUCCUUUUUGCUGAACAUUGCAUGUUGUAGCUGACAGCUUUAUCAAAUAGAGUCUUAUGUAUAAUGAUAAACAUUUGGCCUUUUAUCCUUUUUAAAUUAUCAGAAUUUGGUGCUUCCAAAUCUUCACACUCCAUCUGUCAGUUUGUCUUUACUUCUUUUCCUUUGUGGUAUGAGCAUUUGUAUAAACUUAUUUAAAAAUGAAUUGCCAUACAAGCACAGAACUCUAUCAGUUGGUACAGCAUAGUUUGGUUUAUGGUAGACUUCCAUGGUUGUUAGGCACACAGACUAUAGUGAAGGUUAAAAGUGCUCGAGUACCCCGUGCCCCACCUCAGGACCCUCUUGUGCUGUUAUGUGGAUAAAGACAUACAUAGAUACACUCCUGAAUAGAGAUGUUUGUCUGUUGGGGUUUUUGUGUGUGUGUGUGUUUAUGUGUGUGUGUAUGUGCACACACAUACACAUGUUGAAGAAAUUAUUAUAGGUACCCAGAAAUUUUAUAAGUGAUUGCCCUCUGGUUGAUUUAGGUGACCACUGUUUACUAGAUGCUGCUGAUACCUAGAGAAUUACCAAGAGUGAGACUUGAUAAUUACCUCAAAGCACCUGUGUUCUUAACACAUUUUUAAACCAGUAGUGUAACAACACUGUAACUUCAUUUCUGACCAAUACAAACUAAGUAAUCACAGUGCCAGCCUCAGAGAAACAUCCUUCUCACCAUCAAGGAGGCCUAGAACUGGGCCUUCCACAGCUGGAGGAGCUGCAUAGGCACCACACAGAAGGCCUGUCACUUACUUUCUUUUUAUCUUGUCUGAGCUGGGUAGAACUUUUCUGGGAAGAGUUACAGAACUAAAAAUUCAGUACCCUCAAAAUACUGGAUGGCAUAAGGAGUCAGACAGUGGCAAAAAUCCAGAAACUCUGUGGUUAAUACGACGUAUACAUGAGACCUAUAGCGUAUGAUGUUGAUGUCUUCAGAAAAGUGCACAUGGCUCAGAAGACUAAAUCUGUAAAGACCAGCAAUAGAUUAUGAUUGAAAAAAACCCAAGCCAUUGGUUUUUUGAGGAGCUGACUAUAUUUUUCUAUUAUUUACAGGUUCAGAAAACGAUCAUUUGAUAUCCUUAUUUUCUUACCAUUAAUGGGAUGCACGUAAUUUUAUUUCCCUCUUUUAAGGACAGGGGUUCUUCACUCCUUUGCACACUGCUGACAUGAAUCUAGAAACUGUCGUACAUAUUUCUUCCAGAAAGGAGGGAGAGGGGAGGAAGGGAGAAAAAUGUAUUUAAGGCAGUUGAUUUCUAGAAUUUGUCCACAAAAGACUGUCUGUCACUCAGGUUAAAGCUAUCCUGUUUUUCUCUCCAUGUAUUUAGUAAGCAAAGGACUUAUGCUCUCAUCCAGUAAUUAUUUUAAAAAUGAUUUUUUUCAUUGAGAAGGAUUAAAGGCAUGUAUCUAAUUGCUAAAUAUUAUUUUCUAAAACUAGUCUGAGUCUGUCUUUAUUAGCUGGAAGAAGUUUCACCUUCAGAAGCAUAUUUUAGGAUCUUGUGCCAACUUGAUUCCUUCCCAGACCUGUUCAGACUAGACUUAUUUGGCAGAAAAUGUCUUUUUAAAAGUGUCUUAAACAGGAAUGUCCCAGAAAAUGUUCACCUCAAACUUCAAGUUGACUUGUAGAACAAUUUACUAAAUAGAGAGUCGUGAGGAUCAAGUGACCAUCAGCUGGUAUAAAUGUUUUUGGUCAAUAUAGUCACAGGACCUCAGGUAUGCAAGAGUUAGACAGCCUGCCACCAUGUGCCUGGUUAUAGUGAUAGCCUGAUUCAAGUGCUCUAACAUAAUGCAGAAGGAAUCCAAGUUCACAGGAAUGUACUUUAAUUAGAUACCUGUAUUUAAAAGGUUUGUUUCUCUUCCAGCAUAAUUUAACUCUGUGUGUAUAAGAAUGCAUUACUUUGCUCAUCUAUACUUACUGUUAAUUAGACUUUUUACUUUUUAUUCUUCGCCAUUUGAGAGGCACGUGUGUGUGGUUUUUUUUAACAGCUUUAUUGAAGUAUGAUAAACAAAGAACAGUGCAUAGUUCAGGUGGACAGUUUGAUGAGUUUGGAUACAUGUAAACAUCUGUGAUGAUGUCAUAAUUCCAAUCACUCAUGAUCAAGGUAAUCACUGACUUAGUACCUCCCAAAGUUUUUCUCCCCCUCUCCCCACUCUACCUCCAUGCACAUAUUUACAUUUUAAAAGAAUAUUUAACAUGAAUCCCACCUAGUGGGAGAUAUUUUAUUUAAAUUAACGCUGACUUUGUUAAAAUUAUGGACUAGCUUGUGCUCUUUCAGACCCAUAAAUGUGUUUGUGACAGAAGUUGCCUGCAUUCUUUAGUUAAUGGAAGGCUACUAGCAAAUAAAUCAAAGACCCAUUCAUUCACACACUUCAGAGCCACUUAAAAUACGAAGCUGAAAGCUAUAUGUAUGCAGAGGACCAGAUAUGUACCCACAUAGGCUUGCUACACAGGUGCUUGUAACUUCAAUCUCUGUAAACUCCUAUGAGCCUUGAAUAAUUGAUUGAGAGGGCCUUAUUCUCCUGGUAUCUUCCAUCUCAUCUGUCUCUUACACAUUUUCUGCCUCCUCUUCUGCAGGCUUCUCUGAGCUCCAAGAGAAGGAAUUAGUAGAGGCAGCCCACUUAGAACUGUCCAAGGUCUCUCUCCCUCAGCAAUGUCUGCCUGUGGAUCUUUGCAUUUGCUUCUAUCUACAGCAGGAAGAAGUGAUGCCGAUAAUGACUCAAUAAGAAAGGCACUGAUCUAGGAGUAUAGCAGAAUGUCAUCAGGAAUCAUUUUGUCACAAUUUUUUUUCAUCUUUUUUGAACCAGUAGGUUUUGGUUUUAUCCUAGGUCUUUGGGCUAUCUAAAUCUCUGGUUCUGGUCACUCAAGCAGUGUUGGGUUUGUGUUCCAUCUUGUGGAGUAAGCCUGAAGUCAAAUCAAACAUUGGUUGGUUACUCCCACAAAGUGUGUGCCACCACUGCCCUAGCAUAUUUUGUGACAGGACAGAUUGCAGAUCAAAGGUGUUGUGGCUGGGUUGAUAUCUAUGUUUUUUGUUGUUGUUGUUUGUUUGUUUGUUUUUGGUAGCCUACAGAAUAAUGUUCCAUGUCUCGGUCAUUAGAAUAUGUGAAUGAUGGUUCUAUGUAGGUACCAGUUUUACCUCUCCAUGCUCAAUGAGUUGUAUGGGUAUUGUGUUCAGCAGUGGGACCUUGUCAUCUGUUUGUGAGCAACCUAUAUUCUUGGCAAAAGCCUGGAUUGUUUUCUAUGAGGAUUGUGUUUUCAUGUGACCACUUUGACCAACAACUCAAUUGGAUGUAAUCUGCUCCUAGUACUAAAAGCUUUGUUUGGUGUCAAGAGAUGAUCACUUGGGAUGUCAUCUCCCCCUUUAUUUGGAAACUCCACUUGGAUUGCCAUAUCACCCCUCAAAUGCUCCUCAGUUCAAACUGUUUUUCUCCCCAUAUUUUGUCCCUUAACCUUGCAUCUCCUUUCUCUCUCCACCUGAUCCUCCUAUUCCUGCUCCCCCACACCUACCUGCAGACCAUCCAUUGAAUCUAUUCUGUUUUCCCCUCCUAGAAAGAUCCAUAUGUCCCCACUAAACCCUUCCACCAUACCUAACCACUAUGGGUCUACAGACUGUAGCUAAGAUGGACUAAGGUUUAUAAAUGACCAUCUAUUUAACUGUGGCAUCAGAACUGACCAAACUAAACUCAUGUCUCACUUGGUGAGCUUGAACUAUAAAGAAUGAUAAAGGCAUAGUUAUAGAGUGUUUCAAGAUAUGCAUUUGUGUGCUCCACAAAUGCUUUAUUUUAUAGUGAGGAUAAGAGCUUGCCAAACCUGGCCAAAUGCUCUAUUUCCUUCUUACAUCACUAUGCAUAUUUUGUAAAAAGAGAAUGUUAAAAUAUAGGUAAGGUUAGUUUAUAACUGCCAAAGAGGGGGAGCAACCAAACAAAAGCUUACUUCCUUUUUUAGUCCCACUUCUGUCCUCCCUCAAAGAGCCAAGCAAACUAUGAUUACCACAAAGUUGCUUGUGUUUCCUUACUACUAACAACUUUGUUCUGGGCCACUUUUCUUUGUAAUCUGCAUAUAAUUUAGUAUCACUGUAUGGUUCAUGUACAAGUCCAUUGAGCUUGAACUGUUUGAAAAUUGUGAGCCUUUCCAAGUUUUCUUCCUGAUGAUAAUCCUCUUAAAUUUUUCUGGGUGAGUGUUGCAGAAUUUUAAACCAAAAGAAGGCAGAACUCUAAGGUAUGUGUGCUUGGAGCAAAGUCAUACGAUUAUAUUAGAAAAUGAACCCAAAUGUAAGGGGGAAAGCCAUUGUCUGUGUUGGUGAAAUGUUCAGAUAUAAUUCCUUAUUUCAAAGUAUUGGAUAUUUUCCUGCCUUCGUUUUUGACACCUGCCUUGUUCACUCCCCUAGGGUCCUUUCUCUCCACCAAUUCUUGAAAACUGCGUGAAUAUCAGGCCUUUAGUUGCACACUCCUCAACUACCUUCAAAACGGUAUCAUUACACUCAACUCUUUAUUAUACUAUGGAAUGACUCAUGUCUGCUGGAUUAAUUGCUUGUUUUCCCUACCCUCCUUAUAAUCUCUUGAUUCUCAGUUCUAAGAGUCAGAGGACUUUGCUCAGUGUUGUAUCCUCCAGCCUUGGACUAAGAUACAGAAAAGUGUCUCCAUUAGUAUUAUUAAGUAUUUCUAGGAAAAAUGAGUAACUUGAUCAAGGGAGCUUACCUCGCCAGUGAUUUAGGCCUGUAUUGUUUUGUAGGGGGGACAACUUAGAACUGACAAAUUAAUGAAGUGCUACUUUGAAUAGUUUUGUAAAGGUUAACCUUUAAUAAUUUUCUGUGUUUUAGACAUUUAGUAAGUGAAUCUAAAGUUAAGAUGUACUUAUGUCUAGAACUCAAGGAAAAUAUGCAACUGAAAACUCUCAGUAUUGUUUCAUUAUUUUCUGUAAUUGAUAUGUUUUCUUUUCAUUCCAGAGUCUCUCCACAGAAGGCCACAAAUUGUCUAGCUCUCAAAAGGAUUAGGGUGCCCUCAGUGGCUCAGUAGCCAGUGUAGAUCCUGUCUUUGGUAAUCAGCAGCUACAUCUGGCUACUGGGUCUCUGAUGGCAUCAUCUAGCUUCAGCUGUGGUACCCAUAACAACGUUAUUGAAAUGAUAGCUUUAUCUAGAGCAACACACACAUGCACUGAUAGGCACACACACAGUUUUCAGUUCUAAUCUUCCAGUCGAUUUUGGAAGUCAUUCAGAGUUUGAAGAAUGAUGAGGAUAUUUGGGCCAUUGAUUGGUUUUCCUUCUUGUCCUCCUCUUUCCUCCCGUGAAUAUAUCAUUUUCUCUUUAGCUCUCUAUGUAUCAUCUUCCUAAAUGAUAUCUAUCAUUUCCUUAUCUGUACUUCCAUACAUCUCUUGACCAUUACAGGUCAUUUUAAAAUAGCAUGAUGAAUGAUCACCAAUAGAAUUAUUUGAGGAAAUUUCACCUAUUGGACCCUGGUCUGUUUCUGUUCUUCCUCCAUCAUUGUCCCACGAUAUAUAUGAAGAACUCUCCAGUCUCCAUAGAUUCUGAACAUUUUAUUAUGUUGCAACAACUCACUACACUGUUUGCUCCCUGAAAGCAUACUCUAGAAUUUAAUGGACUGUCCACUACCACUGACAAUUGCCUAGGAAAACAUAGGAGCAGCUAUCUGAUGAAAUAACAAGGAGCUUACAUAUAAAGAAUUCAAGAAUGACUUUCCAUGAUGAGAAGAAGGAAAUGGAAAUUGCUUCUAAAACACAGAUUUUAUAAUGUGGGUUAUCUACUCUUUUGAUAAAUAAAUGGAAACAUAGAAAUAAUUUUAGAAAGUAGCAAUGCAGUAUAAAAAUUUAUUAAUUGUUAUGUUAUAUAAACUAGAGACUUUCAUGAAGAAUUUAAGUGUUUUACAUUGUGACUUAACAAAUAAAAAAGGAGAAAAGGAGUACAAGUAAUGCAAAGAUCAAUGCUUGUAUAUAAUUAAUUGUUUAGUGAGUUUUUGUCACCUUGUGCUGAAUUUAAUGAAAAUAAAGCAAAUGACUUAUAAUUUUUAAAA